ACAGGUGGUCAGGUAGAGAAUACCAAGGCGCUUGAGAGAACUCGGGUGAAGGAACUAGGCAAAAUGGUGCCGUAACUUCGGGAGAAGGCACGCUGAUAUGUAGGUGAAGUCCCUCGCGGAUGGAGCUGAAAUCAGUCGAAGAUACCAGCUGGCUGCAACUGUUUAUUAAAAACACAGCACUGUGCAAACACGAAAGUGGACGUAUACGGUGUGACGCCUGCCCGGUGCCGGAAGGUUAAUUGAUGGGGUCAGCGCAAGCGAAGCUCUUGAUCGAAGCCCCGGUAAACGGCGGCCGUAACUAUAACGGUCCUAAGGUAGCGAAAUUCCUUGUCGGGUAAGUUCCGACCUGCACGAAUGGCGUAAUGAUGGCCAGGCUGUCUCCACCCGAGACUCAGUGAAAUUGAACUCGCUGUGAAGAUGCAGUGUACCCGCGGCAAGACGGAAAGACCCCGUGAACCUUUACUAUAGCUUGACACUGAACAUUGAGCCUUGAUGUGUAGGAUAGGUGGGAGGCUUUGAAGUGUGGACGCCAGUCUGCAUGGAGCCGACCUUGAAAUACCACCCUUUAAUGUUUGAUGUUCUAACGUGGACCCGUGAUCCGGGUUGCGGACAGUGUCUGGUGGGUAGUUUGACUGGGGCGGUCUCCUCCUAAAGAGUAACGGAGGAGCACGAAGGUUGGCUAAUCCUGGUCGGACAUCAGGAGGUUAGUGCAAUGGCAUAAGCCAGCUUGACUGCGAGCGUGACGGCGCGAGCAGGUGCGAAAGCAGGUCAUAGUGAUCCGGUGGUUCUGAAUGGAAGGGCCAUCGCUCAACGGAUAAAAGGUACUCCGGGGAUAACAGGCUGAUACCGCCCAAGAGUUCAUAUCGACGGCGGUGUUUGGCACCUCGAUGUCGGCUCAUCACAUCCUGGGGCUGAAGUAGGUCCCAAGGGUAUGGCUGUUCGCCAUUUAAAGUGGUACGCGAGCUGGGUUUAGAACGUCGUGAGACAGUUCGGUCCCUAUCUGCCGUGGGCGCUGGAGAACUGAGGGGGGCUGCUCCUAGUACGAGAGGACCGGAGUGGACGCAUCACUGGUGUUCGGGUUGUCAUGCCAAUGGCACUGCCCGGUAGCUAAAUGCGGAAGAGAUAAGUGCUGAAAGCAUCUAAGCACGAAACUUGCCCCGAGAUGAGUUCUCCCUGACCCUUUAAGGGUCCUGAAGGAACGUUGAAGACGACGACGUUGAUAGGCCGGGUGUGUAAGCGCAGCGAUGCGUUGAGCUAACCGGUACUAAUGAACCGUGAGGCUUAACCUU
rnacentral:rRNA from 1 species